GAGGGUAUAGCUCAGCUGGAGAGCGCGUGCUUAGCAUGCACAAGGUCCUGGGCUCAAUCCCCAGUACUGCCA
rnacentral:tRNA from 1 species